UCAAUAGGACAAGAAGCUGAGGUCAUCAGCUUCUCCAUGGGAAAGAGAGGAGCCAAGCCCCAGACAGCUCUUUCCCACCCUGCUCUGCUGGUGACCCCCAACCCUGCACCAGCAAGCAGAGGAAGCUGAACUCAGCCUCCCUUCUGAUUUAUUUUGUCUCCCUU
rnacentral:sRNA from 1 species